UCAGCGCUGGCUCCGCAGCCACGACGGCCCAGACGCGGAAACGCCCUCGACGCCCCCAGCACAGGGACGGAUCAAGAGCAGGAGGUCUGUGCACACGUGAGCACUUACUACUCAGCCAUCGGAACACACACUCGGGCCAUUUGCAGCAACGUGCCAGGAGGCGGAGGGGACCGUGCUCCGUGACCACGUCAGGGCGAAAAGACAAAUGGUGGAUGGUGAAUGACAGGCGGAAGAGAGGGACUCCCCCAGCCCGCACUUCCCGCAUCUCCUGUCCUGAGCCUGGAGGUGUCAGGUGCCCCCCAGAGGGUGCAAGUCCCCCUGUGACCCUGCAGGAAUGAGCGGGGGUGGCGCGACCUCCACACUCUGCUCCUGCCCCACCGGUGGGCCCAGGGAGGACAAGGACAAAGAUGAAAACGCCCCUUAGCACGGCUCUGCCUCGGUUGGCCUGACCCCUUCUCUCUCACCGGCUCAGCUAUCAGGGAAGAGCCCACCAACAGUGCCUGCUCUGGGUCCCCUCUUCCACCUGCACUCCCUGCUGUCUCCUCUCUCUGCAGACCCACUCCAGGCCUGGGCUCUUCCAAAGCAGUCGCACCUGGGAACACAGACAAGGCUGGAUGCCACCCAUGCAACACGCUAAGCGUCUGGGUCCUAAUUUUGCAGCCACUGAGUGCAAGGGAGAUCCUGGGCUGCGACAACAGUACAGGCUGCUGGCCUUGUUGCAUUGGGUUGGGGCCCGGACACCUGCAGUGGCCAAGCCCCAGAGCUUGUGGCUGUGAGAAGUGAAGGGCGCUGGAGUGGCCAGAACUGAAUCUUGCUGGGGAGGACAGCUCCUCAGUGGCAAUCAUGGGAUCGCCAUGCUCCAGCUCCCCCUUCAACUCAUAGCCUUUGUAUUCUGCUGCCACCAUUUGAAAAAAUAAAAUACAUUCAUUUACGCAUACCAGAGCUGGGAUAUAGACCAGAGAAGUGGGUGGUGAGAGGAUUCACCAGAGAUAGAACGGAACAGCAUAUCUACUGAAAUCCACUGCUAACGGGAGCAGCAGGGAGACAGACCCCUUACAGGGAGAACAGCCCGGACCAAAGCCAGGUGUUGAGUCACACGGGAUUGAGAUAAAGACUUGGGGUGCCUGUGAAGAUGAGCGUCUCCUCGUGAAGAGAGCUCUGGGUCCGGGGACGAGUGUGUGCUGUGCAGCGCGUCAGUGUGCGCCGGGUGCCCUGGGGUGCACAGAUGUGUGAUG